rnacentral:tRNA from 1 species
AAAUUUAAUUGUGCAACUCAAUUUAAUUUGAUAAUUAUAAUCUUACUAAUUUUAAGUUUAUUGUUUAUGAGAAAUA